rnacentral:rRNA from 1 species
CUUGGGUACUCGAGUGGCGAACGGGUGAGUAACACGUGGGUGAUCUGCCCUGCACUUCGGGAUAAGCCUGGGAAACUGGGUCUAAUACCGGAUAGGACGAUGGUUUGGAUGCCAUUGUGGAAAGUUUUCGGUGUGGGAUGAGCUCGCGGCCUAUCGGCUUGUUGGUGGGGUAAUGGCCUACCAAGGCGUCGACGGGUAGCCGGCCUGAGAGGGUGUACGGCCACAUUGGGACUGAGAUACGGCCCAG